rnacentral:tRNA from 1 species
AUCUAAAUAGCUUAAAUAGAGCGAGACACUGAAGAUGUCUAGGUGGUUUUAUGCCUUUGGGUA